GAAGCCUUGUCUUAAGUUGUUGUUGCCUUUUUUAUUAGUUGUGGCCAGCUUUAUUAGGGAGAGAUUAGCAUCCUUCUUCAAGAGUUUUCUCAGAGAGAGAGAGAGAGAGAGAGAGAGAUAAUUCUGGGAUUGAAAAUCCGGCGAAGCUCCGGCGUGGAAAUUUGAUAGAGGGAAUGGUUGGGUUUUGGACACAUGAAUGUUGGAAGAAGCUUGAUUUCAUUAAAUCUAGAGUAUGGUGGGUUUCUACUCUUGCUUCUUUGGUGUCCAUUGCUGGAGGUUAGAGAGAUGUGAAUGGAAUUAUUAUGAUAAAGACAUGAGGUUAUGGCUGCAUAAUGCCUUGUUGGACCAUUUGAGAAGUGACUUUGGGUCGUCGCAUUGUGUCAUGGAGUAGGGUAUUUUCGAGAUCAUGAGUGAUAGACCAGUGUGGAUCUUGAAAGAUUGUCUGUAGAUGUUGUCUUAUCCUGUUGUAAAUCUUAAGUUCUUGUUAUUGUCUAUCCCUGUAUUUUUUUAUUUUGGACUUAUGUAUCCCAGUAUUGUGUACUUUGUAGAGUUUGUAAUCCUGUAACUCAGUUGGGUUAUUAUAGUUUUGCCUGUCCUAAAUCAGAUUUUGAAGCCUUGCAGGCUUAUAGGGUUUACGCCUUGUGGGUCUGCGGCCGUUUGUCCGUGCGUCGGGUCAUGCCGGGCUGGGUUCGGGGCAUGACAA